GAGAGGAAGAGUUCGAUGAAUAUUUUCAGGAUUUGUUUCUCUGAAACUUGAAAUUGAUUAAAAAUUAUUUCCAACAAAUGGCAAGUGUUUAAGAGGAGUGUUAAGAGAUUGAUCUAGACUAUUCUAUGCGAAGCAGAAAUCCGCUGGGCUCCUUGAAGUUCUUUCUAGAUGUCUUUUCUGUAGCAGAAACAGUGUCUUUGAGACAAAGAAUUACAAAAUUAUACAUGUUUUAGAUUUUCCAUCCUCUCCACUUCCACCUCCAGCUGCAUUUUCAGCUAAAAAACAGAAAAGAAAAGUAAAGUGAGUACUUUCUUUUACUUUCAAUUGCUUUAACUUCUUGUUUUAAAAGCACUGCUUUUGUGAUAAGGACAUUAUGUAUGUUUGACUUUCUGAAAAUGGAACAUGUUUUCACUACUUGUUUGGGAAAUUGGAGCAUGCAACAACUAUACAUGUUAUAUAUACCUAUACAUAUAUGAUGUAGCAAUUGAUAUCAACACUUCUCAAUGGACAAACACACUGAACCACUCUUACUGGAAAGUUUCAGUACUUUAUGUAAGUCUGUCCCACACAUUCAAAACUGAGGUAUGCAAGCCAUGCUAAAGAAAAAAAAAAAGUCUUGAAUUAAUAUCAUCUUGGAAACUAUUUUUGAAGAAGAUGAUACAAAAGCUUUAAUUUGACCUAGUUGUAUAAACUCUUAUCCAACCCUGCAUGAAUCCCUUGGUAACAACCAAUUAAAACAGAGAGACUGUUUUUAAUACUUUAUAGCAACUGAUUCUGUUAAUGUCUCUCUCAAAUGAUUCCACAGAUGUUUAUUGGUCAUAGUUAAGGUUGUUUCAAUGUAAUAAAUUGCGUUUCCAGAUUCAUUUAAGGUAAGUUACCAAUAUUAGAAUUAAAACUUACUUUUGAAAGCUGUGGAUCACCAUGUUACUUAGGUCAUUUUCGACCCUUUCCACCUGCAUUGAAACAUGUCACAUAAUCAGUGUCCUACCUUCUGUAAUUUGUGGAUAUAAUCAACACUACGUUACUAAAUAUGUAUUUCAUUUUCAUAGUUCAAUACUGUAUUCUGCUUUCUGUUCUGAACUUUCCACUGUAGUGGUUCAGCAAAUAUGUUUAUUUUGUUUUCUGCCUACUGAAUGGCUCAGAAUAGCCAGGUCAGUGUGAUCUAGAGAUGACCGUGGUUCAGCAUGCAUCAUAUUACUGUUUGUAUGAACUGACUCUUUAACAAAGGCAUAUAUUUACAUGGCCUUGAUUUUGACAGUGUCAGAUCUGUUCUUCACAAAUAUGCAUGGUCUGAUUCCAGUGCACAUUUUAAAAGAGACAAAAUAAUUCACUUACACUUUUUUGAUGCCAGUUAUGAGCAAAGAAGUCCAGAUCCUUAGCUCCUGUAAAUCAGUCUGUCCAUGUUAGCCUAUGUGAGGUGCCUUGUGGGAAAAUACUUAUUUCUCUAAAUCAGUGAUGUAAGGGACUCCAGAAUACCAAUGAUGUGAGAUAGUCUUAACUUCAAGUGGAAGUAGUGGGAGUCGAAGUCCUAUGUUUGUAAAUCAUUAUUUUAUUUUUAGCUCAGAAGAACCUUAUGCUUAAGGGCAUAGGAUAAGAUUUCAAUAACUAUUCCCUUUGCAAAAAAUGCAAAUAUGUAAGGAGAUUUCUGUGCAGGUCCUGGGGCAGUUUGGUUUUUGUUGGCACUUCUGCAAAAUUCAGAUGCUUAUGUUCCAGCUAGUUGUUGAGCAGAUGAUGAGAUUUAUUGGACAAAAAAAAAAAGAGUGUAUUUUAAAGUAAAUCUGGGGGAGAAUGGGAUGGGCCUAAUUCCUCUGAAACUGUAAGUGGUGGAACAAUGUUUGUUUGAAUUUUAGGCUAGUAGCAGUGAUUUCAUGAGCUAAUUAUUUUCCAGUUAUACUUCAAAUUCUGACAGUAACUUGAUACGUAGCCUUGAAUAACCUCACUUUUAAUGUGAAAUCUGGAUAAUACUCACCUAUUUCCCACAGACCCUGAUUAACAAAUGAAUUAUUGUGUACUGUUUUAUGUUUUAAAGAUGUAAAAUACACUAUUAGAAUAAACUAACUUUUUUCUUUAAACUAGCUGACAAUAAAUCAUUCUCUAAAAAUCAUUUUUCUUUUAAUCUCUGAAUCUUUUCAUCUGAUUAGCAAAGCUGAUAUUUCAAAUGCAAUACAGAAUUAAAAAAAAAACUAAUUUCACUCUUACAUUUGAGUUACACUUGAGGUUUUCAGUUUAUAUAAAACUUCAAUUGUCAUUUGGGUCAUCAUAUGCAAAAUCAUACUUUCAAUUUUAGGUCUUAGAAAGAUUAGCAUUAGAUUUGUACUAUGAGAGAACAUAUUUUAGCCAAGAAACUGAUGGUAAGAAACUAUAGCCAAAAGCUUUCAUCUCAAAUUUGGAAGAGUAGUGGGGCUUGUGUUGUUCCAAAUGCAUACUCCAUUCUCAUCUCCUAUCCUUGUAUUUUUAUUUUCAACUUAAACAAAGCACCAGAAUACAUUUGAGAGUUGAUACCAUGCAGAAUUUCGAUACAGCUCAUAUUUCAGAUAAUUGUAGCAUUCACAGAUAAAUAGAGGUGGUUAAUUAUGUUCAGUUUUAUGUCUUAAAAUAAAUUUUACAUUCACUUCACUUCCGUGAUGGUUGUGUUUUCUGUAAUUCUACAGCUUAGAAAAUAAGGUCAGCGUAUUGGAUUCGUGUAAUUUUGAACAGUAACUCCUCUUCCAACUAAAGAUAAAGCUGAUCCGGCUAAUUCAUAACUCAAAUACUGUUAGUGUAAAGAACAUUGUAAAGUUUACCAUAUGUGUGAAUUACAGAGAGAAGAACUGCCUAUAUGAAUAUAUGAAUGAAAAAAUUAUUUAACCUUUUUUGGCAGCUGCUUCUUCUUCCUUUUUCUUUUGUUCCUCAAUAACUUUCAUCUUCUCUUCAUAUUCAUCAGCUCUUGUUUUCCAUUCAACCCUGUUGUUUUGAAGACCAUCAAACAUGGGUGUAAUUUCCUUGUGAAAUCUUGAGAAUUCCUAUGCAAGCAAUUGAAUUUAAUGGAUUAGAAAUAUGAAAACACUGUUGAUUUGUAAAAUAUGAAUUUGCGGUGAAAGCAUUUGCUUUAAUUUGUCUAUUAAAAAUAAUUAUUUCUCUUUGUAUGCUGUAUGAAUUAAUUUUAAUUGAUAGUUUGUGGUUUUGACUUGUUUGUUUGUUUUGUAACUAGUUGUUCCAUUUCUGUUAGCUGGUUUUCUAUAGAAUUGAAAAGAAGUUUUAUAAUAAUGCCACUAUCUGCCAGUGCAUGUUUGUAAGUGUGUUUUUGGCCAAGCAGUGGUGGCAUAUUAUUGAAAAGAUUGUGUUGGGAUAAUAAUGCCGUAUUGCACACAUGCUGUUAGAAUAUAUCUGAAAUAUAUGCUGCACAUUUUAGUAUCCUCCCUAGUUUUUCAUUUGAAAGUCUGGUUAAUGUAAUAAAAUUAUAACUUUGAUACCUGA